GGAGGAUCCAAGCGUUAUCCGGAAUCAUUGGGUUUAAAGGGUCCGUAGGCGGCCUAGCAAGUCAGUGGUGAAAUCUCCCCGCUCAACGGGGAAACGGCCAUUGAUACUACUAGGCUUGAAUUAUUAGGAAGUAACUAGAAUAUGUAGUGUAGCGGUGAAAUGCUUAGAUAUUACAUGGAAUACCAAUUGCGAAGGCAGGUUACUACUAAUGGAUUGACGCUGAUGGACGAAAGCGUGGGGAGCGAACAGGAUUAGAUACCCUGGUAGUCCACGCCGUAAACGAUGGAUACUAGCUGUUGGGCGCAAGUUCAGUGGCUAAGCGAAAGUGAUAAGUAUCCCACCUGGGGGAGUACGUUCGCAAGAAUG
rnacentral:rRNA from 1 species